rnacentral:lncRNA from 1 species
AUAUUACUACGGUGAGUAACAAUUUCGAAGUGUAACUAUAGAUGGAGGUUGCAUUGAUAUCACUUGAUUAUGCAUAUUGAUGCACAAAAAACUAUUGUAAAGAAAAUACAUCAGUAAGUAGGCUCAGCAUCAUAAUGGUUUUGGACAGGAUAGCUUAAGCAAUCAACAGGACGUCUCCUUAAUUAGCACUAUCCUAGUGUCUAUCAUGAUCCAGCAUUUUGGCAUCAGUUAUUAGGUGCCUUAUAAUGACCUAGUAGGUCCUUGAUAUUUAAAACAUCAAAACA